rnacentral:lncRNA from 1 species
CGAAAGUCUCUAUGGGGCCAAAAUCUAUGGGGCAGGAGACCGAAAUCUAUGGGGCCAAAAUCUAUGGGGCAGGAGACCAAAAUCUAUGGGGCAGAAUCUGACCCUAUGGGGCAGGAGACGGAAAUCUAUGGGUCUGAA